rnacentral:rRNA from 1 species
UACGUAGGAGGCAAGCGUUGUCCGGAAUUACUGGGCGUAAAGCGCGUGUAGGUGGUGGGACAAGUCUGCUGUGAAAGCGCCUGGCUUAACCGGGCGAGGUCGGCGGAAACUGUCGCACUCGAGGACGGUAGAGGGGGGUGGAAUUCCCGGUGUAGUGGUGAAAUGCGUAGAGAUCGGGAGGAACACCUGUGGCGAAGGCGGCCCCCUGGGCCGGCCCUGACACUGAGACGCGAAGGCGUGGGGAGCGAACAGG